CUUCACGUCCAUACCAGGAUGAAAGCACCUGUUCUCGUCAGAUCACGGAAGUUAAGCAUAGUACUUGGAUGGGGGACCCCCUGGGAACUCCCGGUGCCGUGGAGC
rnacentral:rRNA from 1 species